ACUCAAAGGAAUAGACGGGGGCCCGCACAAGCAGUGGAGCAUGUGGUUUAAUUCGAAGCAACGCGAAGAACCUUACCAGCCCUUGACAUCCCGGUCGCGACUUUCAGAGAUGAUCGUCUUCAGUUCGGCUGGACCGGUGACAGGUGCUGCAUGGCUGUCGUCAGCUCGUGUCGUGAGAUGUUGGGUUAAGUCCCGCAACGAGCGCAACCCUCGCCCCUAGUUGCCAUCAUUCAGUUGGGCACUCUAUGGGGACUGCCGGUGAUAAGCCGGAGGAAGGUGGGGAUGACGUCAAGUCUUCAUGGCCCUUACGGGCUGGGCUACACACGUGCUACAAUGGCGGUGACAGAGGGCAGCUACACAGCGAUGUGAUGCUAAUCCCUAAAAGCCGUCUCAGUUCGGAUUGCACUCUGCAACUCGAGUGCAUGAAGUCGGAAUUGCUAGUAAUCGUAGAUCAGCACGCUACGGUGAAUACGUUCCCGGGCCUUGCACACACCGCCCGU
rnacentral:rRNA from 1 species